CUUCCGGGCAUGUCUCUCUGUAGAAUCUUGGCCGGAGAAUCUCUCCGGGGACCGCUGCUGCCACCGCCGUAAAGAGUAGGAGAAGGUGAACAGUGAUGGGGAGUGGUGGAGGAGAAGAAGAAGAAGAAGAAGAAGAAGAGACUUUUGGUGGUAUCGAGAAUGAUUCUUAGUCUAAUUUUGGAUGGGUGUGUGCAAGUGUGGUGCUGUGGGGUUGGCCCUUGGAACUAUAUAUGCAGACAACCUCUCUCCAUAUUUUUUUUAACCCCAAUUUUUUAUAUUGAAAAAAAUCUGAAUUUUGAAAAACAUUUAUAUUUAAAAUCCGUCUACUUUCACUUGUAAAAAAGUGAUACAUUUUGUCAAAAGUUUGUAUCUUGAGGCUAGAGUUAAUUCAUUGCACAUUCAUAUUGCUUUC